UACGAAGGGGGCUAGCGUUGCUCGGAAUUACUGGGCGUAAAGCGCACGUAGGCGGCUCUUUAAGUCGGGGGUGAAAUCCUGGAGCUCAACUCCAGUACUGCCUUCGAUACUGUAGAGCUUGAGUUCGGGAGAGGUGAGUGGAACUGCGAGUGUAGAGGUGAAAUUCGUAGAUAUUCGCAAGAACACCAGUGGCGAAGGCGGCUCACUGGCCCGAUACUGACGCUGAGGUGCGAAAGCGUGGGGAGCAAACAGG
rnacentral:rRNA from 1 species